AGUGAACGCUGGCGGUAGGCCUAACACAUGCAAGUCGAACGGCAGCACAGUAAGAGCUUGCUCUUACGGGUGGCGAGUGGCGGACGGGUGAGGAAUACAUCGGAAUCUACUUUUUCGUGGGGGAUAACGUAGGGAAACUUACGCUAAUACCGCAUACGACCUACGGGUGAAAGCAGGGGAUCUUCGGACCUUGCGCGAUUGAAUGAGCCGAUGUCGGAUUAGCUAGUUGGCGGGGUAAAGGCCCACCAAGGCGACGAUCCGUAGCUGGUCUGAGAGGAUGAUCGGGCACACUGGAACUGAGAGACGGUCCAGACUCCUACGGGAGGCAGCAGUGGGGAAUAUUGGACAAUGGGCGCAAGCCUGAUCCAGCCAUACCGCGUGGGUGAAGAAGGCCUUCGGGUGGUAAAGCCCUUUUGGUGGGAAAGAAAAGAAGCAGGUUAAUACCCCGCUGUUCUGACGGUACCCAAAGAAUAAGCACCGGCUAACUUCGU
rnacentral:rRNA from 1 species